rnacentral:rRNA from 1 species
GGUGGCGGACGGGUGAGUAACGCGUAAGAAUCUAACUUCAGGACGGGGACAACAGUGGGAAACGACUGCUAAUACCCGAUGUGCCGCGAGGUGAAACCUAAUUGGCCUGAAGAAGAGCUUGCGUCUGAUUAGCUAGUUGGUGGGGUAAGAGCCUACCAAGGCGACGAUCAGUAGCUGGUCUGAGAGGAUGAGCAGCCACACUGGGACUGAGACACGGCCCAGACUCCUACGGGAGGCAGCAGUGGGGAAUUUUCCGCAAUGGGCGAAAGCCUGACGGAGCAACGCCGCGUGAGGGAGGAAGGUCUUUGGAUUGUAAACCUCUUUUCUCAAGGAAGAAGUUCUGACGGUACUUGAGGAAUCAGCCUCGGCUAACUCCGUGCCAGCAGCCGCGGUAAUACGGGGGAGGCAAGCGUUAUCCGGAAUUAUUGGGCGUAAAGCGUCCGCAGGUGGUCAGCCAAGUCUGCCGUCAAAUCAGGUUGCUUAACGACCUAAAGGCGGUGGAAACUGGCAGACUAGAGAGCAGUAGGGGUAGCAGGAAUUCCCAGUGUAGCGGUGAAAUGCGUAGAGAUUGGGAAGAACAUCGGUGGCGAAAGCGUGCUACUGGGCUGUAUCUGACACUCAGGGACGAAAGCUAGGGGAGCGAAAGGGAUUAGAUACCCCUGUAGUCCUAGCCGUAAACGAUGGAUACUAGGCGUGGCUU